rnacentral:rRNA from 1 species
CCUGCGGAGGGAUCAUUAUAGAGUGUUAAAACUCCCAACCCUUUGUGAACGUACCACUGUUGCUUCGGCGGCAGGUCGAACCCCCUGGCCGGGUGGUGCUACCCUGUAGUACCUACCCGCCAGAUCCGGGUGACGCCUCCGCCGGCGGCCAGCAAACUCUGUUUUAUUUGGAACUCUGAAUAUAAACUUAAUAAGUUAAAACUUUCAACAACGGAUCUCUUGGUUCUGGCAUCGAUGAAGAACGCAGCGAAAUGCGAUAAGUAAUGUGAAUUGCAGAAUUCAGUGAAUCAUCGAAUCUUUGAACGCACAUUGCGCCCAUUAGUAUUCUAGUGGGCAUGCCUGUUCGAGCGUCAUUUCAACCCUUAAGCCCUGUUGCUUAGCGUCGAGAGCCUGCGUUACAGCAGCUCUCUAGAUUCAGUGGCGGAGUCAGCUCAACUCUAAGCGUAGUAAUUCUCUCUCGCUUCUGUAGUGGUUCUGUCCCCUGCCGUAAAACCCCCUAUUUUACAAUGGUUGACC